UCUGACAUAGCUUAAUUGGUAAAGUGCAAACCUGAUACGUUUGUGGAUAAAGGUUCAAAUCCUUUUGUCAGAA
rnacentral:tRNA from 1 species